GACAGCUUGGCGAGUGGUUAAGGCGAUGGACUUGAAAUCCAUUGGGGUAACCUGCGUGAGUUCCAAAUCUCACAGCUGUCG
rnacentral:tRNA from 1 species